CAUUUUCCAACCACGUCAGUAUUCAGCGGAGAGAGUAUGGUGGACUAAAAUUAUAUACUUUCCCUCAGCUCGAGGAAGACAGUUCCAGGGACACUCAGGAAGUUGACUCUAGAUGGCAGCAUUGAUGUUUGUGACAAUAUGAUAGAUGCAAAUGUGUUGAAUCCAUCAUUUGCUCUUCAAAAAGAGUUGGAAAUGCAGCACUCCUGCCCUGACUGGCUCCACUCCAUCGACGUUCCUGCACCGGCGACCCUUGGAUUGGUUCCAUGACUUCCCUUCGGUGAGGAAGGACUGGGCUCGCCCCGUGGUUGCCGUCGUGGUCCUGAGGAGGCAUUAUCACGGGCACCAUGCUAAAACUGUUUCUCGGCGUAUAGGACCUGAGGACAGGCGUCGGGGAUACCAAAUAAUGCUGCAAGGAAAGGGGGAAAGUACUGUCAUUAAAAAAUCGAUUUAACUGUUGCGGAUUCAUCAUGGACGGACGCCUCUUGUCAGCUUCCACACCCCCAUACGGACUUCUGGCUGGUCUGAAAGAAAUAUAAG